rnacentral:tRNA from 1 species
GCUGUGGCUUACAGUGGAAGAGCCUCUGUUUUGCACACAGAAAGCCCAAAGUUCAAUUCUUGGCAUUGGCU